UGAUGGCUGUUCCUCCUGCUGCCUUAGACGUGGCACUAGGAUUUUAGGUCAUCAUAAACUAAAGUUAAUUUUUUUUUCACUCAGAGAAUAUUAAGAUAUUAGGAUUAUCUAUGUAUUCUCUGAAAUUUGUGGGAUCAAACAUUU